rnacentral:rRNA from 1 species
UAUGUAUGGGAAAACUAGCUCGGGGGGUUUCAUCCUAAGUGCUAGCAGGACCUAUCAGGAAGGUGAACUAUGUAACCGGGGCAGAGGACCGGGAUUAGAUACCCCGUUACUCCCGGUGUCAAGUACAGCGGCUAUUAUUAGAGCUAUGUAUGCGCUUGCCGGGCAACUACGUCUUAACAGGUAAAAGUCGAAGUACUUGGCGGUCUAGCGAUGAACCAGCCCGUGAGACUUGACGGUUAAUCCGAUGAUCCGCGUAAAUUCUACUCUUUCUUGAAUUCUCAGUUGGUGUAUGGCCGUCUAGUGCUAUCUGAAAGGAAGUUGCGCCAAGCCAUUGUUUGUACGAGUUUAUAAUUUUAGUAUAAGCGGAUGGAGUAAUUCAGGUCGUCAUGCCGCUCACGAAGGAGGCUUAGUUGAGUCACAUUGAUGAGAUCAAGCGGAACCAAGUAGGAAGUGGCUUGGGGAAGAAGUAAUGGGUAGUAAGAAGAGAAUAAUUCGCUUUUCU